AUUGAACGCUGACGGCAGGCCUAACACAUGCAGGUCGACCGAGUGGCGGACGGGUGAGUAAUGUCUGGGACACUGCCUGAUGGUGGGGGAUAACUACUGGAAAUGGUAGCUAAUACCGCAUACUAUCGGAUGUGCCCAGAUGGGAUUAGCUAGUAGGUGGGGUAAAGGCUCACCUAGGCGACGAUCCCUAGCUGGUCUGAGAGGAUGACGUGCCACACUUGAACUGUGAAUAGGUCACUACUCGUUCGAGAGGCGGCAGUGGGGAAGAUUGCAGAAUGGGCGCUAGCCAGAUGCAGCCCUGCCGCGUGUAUUAGGCAGGAAAAAAUGUUUUAAAAUACUUUCAGCGGGGAGGCGUUACCCUCAGAAGCUGCACCGGCUAAUGCCGUUCCAGCAGCCGCGGUAAUAC
rnacentral:rRNA from 1 species